GGCCUGGUGGUCUAGUAGUAUGAUUCCUUCUUAGGGUAGACAUGUGGUUUGCUGUUUACGUAAUUUGGAGGAGGCCCCGGGUUCAAUUCCCGGCCAGGCCC
rnacentral:tRNA from 1 species